AUGUAAGUAGAUGUUCCUAUGAGGAGGUUCUGAGUUGUAUUUCCCCAUAAUUGGUCGCCUCCUGUGCAGGCAACUUAUAUGAUGAGUAGUUUAGCAGAACGACUCUCUUUGUAAUAUUCUCUUCCUCUUAGGACUCAGAAACUCUCUUUACUUUUUCAAUGUGGUGACAGAUUAUGCAAUUUUAUUGCUUUUGUAUUUCUGACUCUACAUACUGCUUCCUUAUGUUUUCUGCUGCUGAAAAAGUGUUGAU
rnacentral:misc_RNA from 1 species